rnacentral:rRNA from 1 species
CCUACGGGAGGCAGCAGUGAGGAAUAUUGGUCAAUGGGCGCUAGCCUGAACCAGCCAAGUCGCGUGAAGGAUGACUGCCCUAUGGGUUGUAAACUUCUUUUAUCUGGGAAUAAAGUGCAGUAUGUAUACUGCUUUGCAUGUACCUUAUGAAUAAGGAUCGGCUAACUCCGUGCCAGCAGCCGCGGUAAUACGGAGGAUUCGAGCGUUAUCCGGAUUUAUUGGGUUUAAAGGGGGCGUAGGCGGGUUGUUAAGUCAGUUGUGAAAGUUUGCGGCUCAACCGUAAAAUUGCAGUUGAUACUGGCAGUCUUGAGAAGAGGAGAGGUAGGCGGAAUGCGUGGUGUAGCGGUGAAAUGCUUAGAUAUCACGAAGAACUCCGAUUGCGAAGGCAGCAUGCUGGACUGUAACUGACGCUGAUGCUCGAAAGUGUGGGUAUCAAACAGGAUUAGAGACCCCAGUAGUC